AACGAACGCUGGCGGCAUGCCUAACACAUGCAAGUCGAACGAGAUCUUCGGGUCUAGUGGCGCACGGGUGCGUAACGCGUGGGAAUCUGCCCUUUGGUUCGGAAUAACAGUUGGAAACGACUGCUAAUACCGGAUGAUGACGAAAGUCCAAAGAUUUAUCGCCAGAGGAUGAGCCCGCGUAGGAUUAGCUAGUUGGUGUGGUAAAGGCGCACCAAGGCGACGAUCCUUAGCUGGUCUGAGAGGAUGAUCAGCCACACUGGGACUGAGACACGGCCCAGACUCCUACGGGAGGCAGCAGUGGGGAAUAUUGGACAAUGGGCGAAAGCCUGAUCCAGCAAUGCCGCGUGAGUGAUGAAGGCCUUAGGGUUGUAAAGCUCUUUUACCCGGGAUGAUAACGACAGUACCGGGAGAAUAAGCUCCAGCUAACUCCGUGCCAGCCGCCGCAGUAA
rnacentral:rRNA from 1 species